UACGGGGGGAGCAAGCGUUGUUCGGAUUUACUGGGCGUAAAGGGCGCGUAGGCGGCGUGACAAGUCACUUGUGAAAUCUCCGGGCUUAACUCGGAGCGGCCAAGUGAUACUGUCGUGCUAGAGUGCGGAAGGGGCUACUGGAAUUCUCGGUGUAGCGGUGAAAUGCGCAGAUAUCAGGAAGAACACCUAUGGCGAAGGCAGCACUCUGGGACGGUACUGACGCUGAGACGCGAAAGCGUGGGGAGCGAACAGG
rnacentral:rRNA from 1 species